GCGAAAGUGGCGGAAUUGGUAGACGCGCAGGAUUCAGGUUCCUGUGGUAGCAAUACCGUGGGGGUUCGAGUCCCCCCUUUCGCACCA
rnacentral:tRNA from 1 species